rnacentral:rRNA from 1 species
GUCUAUGGCCAUGCCACCCUGAACAAGCCCAAUCCCGUCUGAUCUCGGAAGCUAAGCAGGGUUGGGCCCGUUAGUACUUGC